rnacentral:rRNA from 1 species
GUAGUCAUAUGCUUGUCUCAAAGAUUAAGCCAUGCAUGUCUAAGUAUAAACAAAUUCAUACUGUGAAACUGCGAAUGGCUCAUUAAAUCAGUUAUAGUUUAUUUGAUGGUAUCUUGCUACAUGGAUAACUGUGGUAAUUCUAGAGCUAAUACAUGCUGAAAAGCCCCGACUUCUGGGAGGGGUGUAUUUAUUAGGUAAAAAACCAAUGGGUUUCGGCCCUUUAUGGUGAUUCAUAAUAACUUCUCGAAUCGCAUGGCCUUGUGCCGGCGAUGCUUCAUUCAAAUAUCUGCCCUAUCAACUUUCGAUGGUAGAGUAGUGGUCUACCAUGGUAGCAACGGGUAACGGGGAAU